rnacentral:rRNA from 1 species
GAUGAACGCUAGCGGCAGGCUUAAUACAUGCAAGUCGUGGGGCAGCAUGAGUAGCAAUACUUGAUGGCGACCGGCAAACGGGUGAGGAACACGUACACAACCUUCCUUCAAGCGGGGAAUAGCCCAGAGAAAUUUGGAUUAAUACCCCAUAAUAUAUUUGAUAAGGCAUCUUAUUAAUAUUAAAGCUUCGGCACUUGAUGAUGGGUGUGCGGCUGAUUAGAUAGUUGGCGGGGUAACGGCCCACCAAGUCUACGAUCAGUAGCUGAUGUGAGGGCAUGAUCAGCCACACGGGCACUGAGACACGGGCCCGACUCCUACGGGAGGCAGCAGUAAGGAAUAUUGGACAAUGGACGAAAGUCUGAUCCAGCCAUGCCGCGUGAAGGAUUAAGGUCCUCUGGAUUGUAAACUUCUUUAUAUGGGACGAAAAAGGGCAUUCUUGUUCACUUGACGGUACCAUAUGAAUAAGCACCGGCUAACUCCGUGCCAGCAGCCG